GUGAAUAUAGUUUAACCAAAAUUCUAGGUUGUGGUCCUAGCAAUGAAGACUAACAUUCUUCUAUUCACC
rnacentral:tRNA from 1 species